rnacentral:rRNA from 1 species
UACGUAGGGCGCAAGCGUUGUCCGGAAUUAUUGGGCGUAAAGAGCUCGUAGGCGGUCUGUCGCGUCUGUUGUGAAAACUCGAGGCUCAACCUCGGGCUUGCAGUGGAUACGGGCAGACUAGAGUGCGGUAGGGGAGACUGGAAUUCCUGGUGUAGCGGUGGAAUGCGCAGAUAUCAGGAGGAACACCGAUGGCGAAGGCAGGUCUCUGGGCCGCGAACUGACGCUGAGGAGCGAAAGCAUGGGGAGCGAACAGG